UACGUAGGGGGCAAGCGUUGUCCGGAUUUAUUGGGCGUAAAGAGCGUGUAGGCGGCCAGGUAGGUCAGCUGUGAAAACUCGAGGCUCAACCUCGAGACGCCGGUUGAAACCAUCUGGCUAGAGUCCGGUAGGGGAGUGUGGAAUUCCCGGUGUAGCGGUGAAAUGCGCAGAUAUCGGGAGGAACACCAGUGGCGAAGGCGGCACUCUGGGCCGGUACUGACGCUGAGGAGCGAAAGCGUGGGGAGCGAACAGG
rnacentral:rRNA from 1 species